rnacentral:rRNA from 1 species
GACGUAGGGGGCCAGCGUUGUUCGGAAUUACUGGGUGUAAAGGGUUCGUAGGCGGUGUGGCAAGUCGGGAGUGAAAUCUCUGGGCUCAACUCAGAGACUGCUUCCGAAACUGCUGUGCUGGAGUGUGGGAGAGGCGCGUGGAAUUGCAGGUGUAGCGGUGAAAUGCGUAGAUAUCUGCAGGAACACCCGUGGCGAAAGCGACUCUUUGGCCUGUAACUGACGCUGAGGCGCGAAAGCGUGGGGAGCAAACAGG